GAAUAAGAGUGAAAGACGAAGAGAAACAGACCUUCACACUGCUUCUAUGAUGCCACCUUGGCACAGGCAGAGUGGGGCGUCAUGAACGGGAAACCGGGCAGAGAAAAGGAAGAUAUGGAAAAGACGCGGAUAAAGCAGAGCAUUGAACCGCAGUGUGCCAGCCAGCGGGCAGUGUGCCAGUUUGUCUUCGUGGCAUACUCGAAGCCCUUAAAGCAGAUGGCAAAUGGAGAAUCGUUGCAGUCAAAGACAAAGGGACUCACCACAGAGGAUUUGCCUCUAAUUGCUGUUUGUUUGCACGAACAAAGCCAAGAAGAAGUGCCCGGGCAACGAUUGCCAGCGAUUGCAAUGGCAUUUUUGGAGGGGCAGCGAGGCAAAGAAAGAAAGGUGGCAUGCUGCCAAGGCAACACAGUUGUAAACAGAAACAUCCGUAUGUUGCGCAGAACAUUUUUGGCGAAGACAUCCCCUGAAGGGAAAGGCUACAACCAUGGAUGGCAUCAUGCCAAACGAAAACUGUGUGGCAUUUACAGGCGCAAUCAAAAACCAUACAAGCAGUUGGAGAACAGUACCCCAAAAUAGUAACAACAUCUUAUAACUAAACUCACAAAUGCAGCCUUUAGGUCAAGACGCCCAUUGCCUUCAUGCCAACUCGACCUUGUGUCAGUUGUUACACUGAAAGGAUAGUUUCAGGACAUUACAAGGAAUGAAGAGGAGUGACUGUACCAUUUUUCCUUGUGGUGGAAGAGAAAUAAUGAGCAACAGAAGUAAAAGAUGCGGAAGAAUUUUGUGCUUAACGAAGAACAGUGGGAGCUGGUCGACAGAGAUGAUGAAGUGCCUCUUUCCUGCACUUGCACACAUGGGUUCUUAAAAGGGAAAUCCCCUCAGAAUGCUAUACUUGUUAAAGGGAGGUAUGUGUUGGCAUCAUCUCCAAGGUGUCAAGCUGUGUUUCUCCACUGCCAUCCAGGGAGGGUGCUGCUGGAGUGUUCAGGGGCGGGCAACAGUCUGGGCAUCUCAUCUGCAGCUAAUUAACAGCCGCACACUAAUUCUAACAGCCGAUCAUAAUUAGCGAUUUAAUCGCUCGUCAAGCCCCCCCCCCCCCCGCAAAUUGUGGCUCCUAUUAGGACACGUGCGGAUAAGCCAAGGAACGCUUGAUCCCAGCCCCCACCUCCCUCCCCUCUUCCUCGAUCCACCUUUUCUUCAUCCUUGGCUCCAGACUCCAGUGGGAUCUUAAUUAAGCCCUGGCUUCAUUAUGCAAAUGGAGUACAAUAAACGACAGCGGAGGUGGAGCUGGAUACAGGCUGAAAUGGAAUGAUAGAGGUAGAAAGCUGAAAAUGGAAAACGAGAUGUGGAAGGCUACCAAAAUGUUCUUUUCAUGUCACUGCGUUGCAGUAGUUGUGUAUUGUUGUAACAUGGAUGUCUUCAGUGCUCAUGCUACGACCACAUGUUGUCUGAGAGCAAACACCUCACGCAAUGACGCUUCAUAGCUGCUGCCACGGGGAAAACAUCCCUGAAAUAACACUGGAUAUUCAGAAUGUCAUCUCUCACAAAGAAAAUUCUCAAGGGAAUCAUGACAAUGAACCUCUUAAUAUCACCAGUUGGCUGGAUGCGGAGGGAGAUGGUAGAGAUAGCGGAAAGAAAAGGAGGCAGACAGAAACACUGACAGUGGCAGCAGCAUGGCAGCUAAUGUCAUCUCAGUUUAAUCAUCACAUAGGAUCAUGGGGUUCAUGAAAAUUCAUUUGCAUAUCAUUAAAUGGAGAGAGGUUAUUUGGUGUGGGCCGCUAAAAUGGGAUUGGAAGAAGGAAGGGGGUUAAAAAAAAGAAAAAUGGAGGGGCUCGUUAUUAAACUGCAAUGUUUUAUAGUCUGUCAGCCAAUUCAUUUAAUUUGGGCAUAAUUAAAAUGUGUCAGACUCAAUCAAUCAUGCCAGCAGGGAUACUAUCAAUGUAUCAGUCUGAAAAAGGACUAAUCAGAGGAUAUGCACUUGGACACUUUCCAAUAACAGUCAAUGAGAGUGGGCUAUGAUCCUCUGGAAGCUUGACCAGUCUUUUCCUUCUUUCCAGUAUGCUACAGUGCAAAUACUGUGUAUCAUGUAAAAGCUGUGACUGAUGUUGACAUUACACUGUUUCUUUCUGACUGUAGUGAUAAGAUGUCAAAGUAAGGUUUGUCUGCAGAGACCAGUGUGCAUUCCUAAUUUGCAUAAGUGAUAUAAUUAGACCGCCCUUUUUGUAUGGAGAUCAGUUUGGCAACAUGGCAAUCACUCUCUCACACAUACAGUCCUGCACACAUGUAAAGACACGACAACACGCGCCAAGACCACCCCCACACCCCAUGCCCAAUAUCAUGGAAGGUCUGUUGUCUGUGAGCAGAGAGUGUAAAGAUUAACAUAAUCCAGCUAAUAAGUGUGAGUAAUAUUCACACAGAGACGCGUGGCAUAGACACUCUCCUGCUGAUGCGUAUUUGUAUCUCAUUAUAGAUGUAAAGUUCUGCGGCUGCUCGCCAGUGGGAUAAUGGGGCGGGGGUUGGUUUAGAGGCAGUGUGGAUGGGGCCAUGGCAAAGGGUCACAAACUGUGCCACAAUAAUAAGAUGUAGCAAGUUAUCCUGCACCACUUUAGAGAGGGACCAGUGUAGUUUACAAACAACUGACAGAUUAGUAAAGGAGGACUAGAAAUAAAAAAUAAAAACAUAUAAAAAAAACAAAUCUUUUUUAUUUCCACAUAGGUGCAGUGUCAGUUUAAAGGCAGAAUGGAGGGUAUAAAUAGUGUAUUUGAGCUUGCAGGCUAGCUCUACAACAUGAUGGAUUAGGAUGGUGUGACGGCCAUUAAAAAGUCAUUUAUAAGAUGGAUAGGGACCACAUUUCCAAAUAAAAACCACUUCAUACCUGAUGAAGUGCUGAACAAACUCUUCUGCAAAGACAUUUACUGAUUACUAUUGGGGUAUGAGUAAGUGUAACGUGGCAAGCUAUGUAUCAGCUGUGGGAGACACCAGGGCGAUAGUCUGCAACGAAUACAGGCGGUAGGUGGUGAUGCUGACUUUUAUUACAGCCUAAAUUUUUAUUUUGUUUCGAUUAAAAGGGCAGAUAUGUAAGAAAGAAUGGGCAAAAAAAAAAUGUCACAAACAGCCCUAACACCUGCACGCUUAUUAAAAUCUAUCUGAAAGCACAGUGUAGCUUCAAAUGAAAGCUUAUCCUCAGAAGCAGAAGGUGUGUCUGGAUGAGCAACUGCAUUUGAGCUCUGUCUCUUUAAGUCGGGGCUCCACCACCGCAGCAUGCUUUGGGAUUCAUGCAUAAACAUGAGCUGGCCUUUCAAGCUCUCUCCUCACAUAACCAAUCUAAAUCUAAAUGAGCCCCCACUACAGAUACACCAGCAGGCAAUGACAUUACCUACCCCCCCCCCCCCCCCCCCCCCCCCACCUCAGCUCCGCAGCCCCAACCCCCUAUUCUACUCCACUACCCCCAGCGACACAUAUACAACAGCAGGCAAUAAUUUCACGCCGUCCCUCAAAGCACCUCCCCACCACCACCACUACAACCUACGCUCCACGCACACACAUGCACUUGUACCCCCUUUUUUGCUGCAACCCCACCAGCUGCACAGUGCUCAUUUGAUUAAGAGGGGAGGACAGGGAGAAGGAGAAAUGGUGGGGGAUCAGUUUAUCACGAUGACUUUCUAAGAUGGCUAUCAUCCAAUACGAAGCUAUCUCAAAGCCCUCAUGUGUGUUUGCUUUGCUUUUGUUCUCCACAUGUAUCCGUUUUGUCUCCCCUCCCUGCAGCCAAAAUGAGAUCAUAACAGCUUCACGGUUACAUUUUCCGCUGUUGCAUUUCUGUGUAGCGGCAAAAUGAAUAGCCCUCUUGCAAGAGAAUAAGAGUCAGAUACUAGUUUGGGUUUGACUAGAAUGGGACAGAGAAAAUUCCAGUGCUGCUGGAAAGGAAAGUUUCUCAUGAGAAAGAAGAAAAUAAUAAAGUCUUAUUCACCUGAA